rnacentral:lncRNA from 1 species
AGCCUCCGCCCCGCCCCUCGUGACGCCGCCUGCAGGCGGGCCCCCGCCUGCCCCAGCUCAGCCCGGGAGCUCCGCUGAGCUGCGCGCCGCCGCCUCAAGCUCCCCUGCCGCAGCGCGCCGCAGCCGGGCCUCCCUGCGCGGGCGCCGGAGAGGAAGGAAGGCUGGCAGCCUCGUCACGUGUCCGCUGCAGUAGCGAAACAGUUCCGGUGGUGAGGAGACCUUUCCAAAUAUAAGAAGAAUAAAGAAGUCACCUCCCCAGCAGCUGUCAUCAUCUUCCAGCAGAUUGAGCAAGAAUAUUUUGAGCACUACAGGAAAGACAGUCCGUCAAACCCUAUAUGAUGAUCAGCCAUGUGAUUUUUUCAAGACGAGGAAUAGGGUGAAUGAAUCUCAUCAGAAAAGCAGGUAAAUAGUUUUAGUAUAAUUGUUUUAUCUUGCAAAAGGCUCAUUAUCUCUGUUGUCCAGAUUGAAUAUGUGGAGUGGGGAAAAAAAGUAAGUCUAUAGAUAAGAAAUAUACAUUUAUAUAUUCUUUUCUAGCAGAAAUGAGUGGAAAAGUGGUUUAAGCAUAAUAGUGGAUAAGGAUUCCAGUGGUCAUAAUUCUGGCAGUUGUUAGCAGAAUUAUAAUUUUGAGUAAGUCCUUUAAUGCUUUUCUAUGUUAGUUUCCUUUUAUAUAAAAGGAUACGGACAAUAAUUAAUUUUUAUGGAUGCAUACUGACAAGCAGAAACAAAAUGUUUUAACAGUGUUAUGAAUUCUGAAUAAUGGAGAUUCCUUCAUUUUUUCAUUCAUUUAUUCAACAUUUAUUGAGCACACAUUGUACUAUUGGCAAUGAUUUAAUAUCCUCCAUAUUUAUUAAUUAAAGUGUAGCACGUAUUCAAAUAGUUGCUUAGCUUAUU